rnacentral:rRNA from 1 species
UACAGAGGGGGCAAGCGUUGUUCGGAAUUACUGGGCGUAAAGGGCUCGUAGGCGGCCAACUAAGUCGGAUGUGAAAUCCCCAGGCUUAACCUGGGAACUGCAUCCGAUACUGGAUGGCUUGAAUUCGGGAGAGGGAUGCAGAAUUCCAGGUGUAGCGGUGAAAUGCGUAGAUAUCUGAAGGAACAUCAGUGGCGAAAGCGACUUCCUGGACCAAUACUGACGCUCAUGUGCGAAAGCGUGGGGAGCAAACAGG